UUUGUCAUCAUACGUAUUUAUUUUUAUAGGUGGAUCAUUCCUUUUUGUGCUAAGUCUGCACUAGGCACACAUUUCUUCUUGGAUUUACACCUGAGCACAGUUCUCCAGAACGUCUCUCGACUGGAAUGGAGGGCCACGCAAGUGCAGUAGACUGCAGGGGGCAGUACCCGACAGCCGGAGACACGGAAGGCUGGGUACCUUGCGGCCUGCGAGGUACUCCAUGCCGCGCGCCACCUGGAAGGCCCAGCACAGCAGGUCCCUGGUGAAGAUGGCGGAGAUGUUGCCGUGCGGAUAGUCGCCGUGGAAGUUGGACCUCCAGCCCGGCUGCACGCUGUUGUUGCUCAGCAUCGGGCUCUCCUCAUCGCCUGGGGUGCAGAGCAACGUUUCAAACAUUCUCAACUGAUACACACACACACACACACAUGUGUGUGUGCAUUUAAUUUUGGGUUUUGCUCCCAACUUUUUGAAUCUUUGUCAAGAAAUACCAACUGUAACAUGACUUUUUUUUAGGAACUGGAGAUUAGUCUUAGUUAAGUAAAUUAAUAACUAUAUUUUUAAACAUACUUAACAGAAGACUAAUUUUGACCAAAAGGAAGAAAGAUAUUUUUUCACAGAAAAAUAUUUACUUUAACAACUUUAUAGGCUAAGAAAAAAUAUAAAUAAGGCACACACAACUGUGCUAUUUUAAAUAAUUAUAAUUUUUUCAUAAACAUAAUAAUUUGUAAAGGAAUUUUGUUAUUUGGAAACUCUGACUCAGUAGAGUUGUUUUUAAGUAGACUCUAGACAAAACCUUGACUUUCAAGAGUCAGCAUUUUAAUGUCAGUUAGCUUAGUAAGAACCUAAUAACACUUUAAGUAUGGGUAAAACAAGGAAAGGUAAAAAAAAAGAUCACUUGAUGAGCUAAAGAGCCACUCUCACCCUUACGUUCAACCCUCUAUUGAUAGUAACUUAAAAUAUAUGAAAUAAGGUUUUCUGAAGGGGGGAAAAUUGCAAUAACAUUAGUUUGUAAACUUCAUCCCAGCCUGUCCUUCAUGAGCUUGCAGAUGGACACAGGUUCGUCGAGAAAAAUUUUGUCAGGCCUCCUCCCCAUUAAUAAAUGUAGAAUUUUUCAUACAUCACAAUUUUAAAAAAAUAUUAAGACUGUAAACGUUUCCAUGGCCAUUACUGUGCCUGUGUGUAUUAUAUAACUUGUUAAAUUUCUAAUAAAUUCUGUUAGCAACA